rnacentral:rRNA from 1 species
GAUGAACGCUAGCGGCAGGCUUAACACAUGCAAGUCGAGGGGUAUAGUUCUUCGGAAUUAGAGACCGGCGCACGGGUGCGUAACGCGUAUGCAAUCUACCUUUCACAGAGGGAUAGCCCAGAGAAAUUUGGAUUAAUACCUCAUAGUAUAGCAGUUUCGCAUGAAACCACUAUUAAAGUCACAACGGUGAAAGAUGAGCAUGCGUCCCAUUAGCUAGUUGGUAAGGUAACGGCUUACCAAGGCAACGAUGGUAGGGUCCUGAGAGGGAGAUCCCCCACACUGGUACUGAGACACGGACCAGACUCCUAC